UUUUAUGGAGAGUUUGAUCCUGGCUCAGGAUGAACGCUGGCGGCGUGCCUAAUACAUGCAAGUCGAGCGAACGGAUGAGAAGCUUGCUUCUCUGAUGUUAGCGGCGGACGGGUGAGUAACACGUGGAUAACCUACCUAUAAGACUGGGAUAACUUCGGGAAACCGGAGCUAAUACCGGAUAAUAUUUUGAACCGCAUGGUUCAAAAGUGAAAGACGGUCUUGCUGUCACUUAUAGAUGGAUCCGCGCUGCAUUAGCUAGUUGGUAAGGUAACGGCUUACCAAGGCAACGAUGCAUAGCCGACCUGAGAGGGUGAUCGGC
rnacentral:rRNA from 1 species